GGGAAGGAAAAAGUGGUCGAAUAGCCAUCGAAAUCGUUCGACAACAUCCGAGAUUUUGGUUCUUCAGCUAUUGGACUCGGGAUUUUUGAAGUCGAAGUCGCCCACACUAUCAAAGCUCCUUUUGGUACACUUUUGGUUGAACUUUGAAAUGGCAUGUAUAGGACACCCCUUUUUUUUUGUUAUUAGUCAAGUACUUUGGUGUUGUAUAUAUUUGGAUAGCCAUGCGAAAAUGGCUUAUAUAUAUUUUGAGCAUAAUGUUAUAAUCAUCUUGAAUGUAUAUGUUCAUUAAGAGGCA